CGGAGGAUCCAAGCGUUAUCCGGAUUUAUGGGUUUAAAGGGUGCGUAGGUGGUUUGUUAAGUCAGGGGUGAAAUCCCGCGGCCCAACCGUGGAACUGCCUUUGAUACUGGCGAACUUGAGUGCGUGAGGGGUAGGGGGAACGAGCAGUGUAGCGGUGAAAUGCGUAGAUAUUGCUCGGAAGGCCAGAGCCGAAGGGGCCCUACUGGUGCGCAACUGACACUGAGGCACGAAAGCGUGGGGAGCAAACAGGAUUAGAUACCCUGGUAGUCCACGCCGUAAACUAUGAGCGCUAGAUGGAUGCCGAGCUAUCGGUGUCUGUCGGAGGCAAUUUGGUAAGUGCUCCGCCUGGGGAGUAUGGUCGCAAGGCUG
rnacentral:rRNA from 1 species